rnacentral:misc_RNA from 1 species
UACGUAGGGUCCAAGCGUUGUCCGGAAUUACUGGGUAUAAAGGGUGCGCAGGCGGAUCUGUGCGUCGGGGGUUAAAGACCAUGGCUCAACUGUGGAUAUGCCCUCGAAACGACAGGUCUUGAGUAUGAGAGAGGAAGAUGGAAUUCCUGGUGUAGCAGUGAAAUGCGUAGAUAUCAGGAGGAACACCAGUGGCGAAGGCGAUCUUCUGGCUCAUUACUGACGCUCAGGCACGAAAGCGUGGGUAGCAAACAGG